rnacentral:rRNA from 1 species
UACGGAGGGUGCAAGCGUUGCUCGGAAUUAUUGGGCGUAAAGGGUAGGUAGGUGGUCUCAUUUGUCUGGGGUGAAAGCCUUGAGCUUAACUCAAGAAGUGCCCCAGAAACGGUGAGACUAGAGUCUUGGAGAGGGUCGUGGAAUUCCCGGUGUAGCGGUGAAAUGCGUAGAGAUCGGGAGGAACACCAGUGGCGAAGGCGGCGACCUGGACAAGUACUGACACUCAACUACGAAAGCGUGGGGAGCAAACAGGG